AUUGAACGCUGGCGGCAGACCUAACACAUGCAAGUCGAGCGGAUGAGUGGAGCUUGCUCCAUGAUUCAGCGGCGGACGGGUGAGUAAUGCCUAGGAAUCUGCCUGGUAGUGGGGGACAACGUUUCGAAAGGAACGCUAAUACCGCAUACGUCCUACGGGAGAAAGUGGGGGAUCUUCGGACCUCACGCUAUCAGAUGAGCCUAGGUCGGAUUAGCUAGUUGGUGAGGUAAAGGCUCACCAAGGCGACGAUCCGUAACUGGUCUGAGAGGAUGAUCAGUCACACUGGAACUGAGACACGGUCCAGACUCCUACGGGAGGCAGCAGUGGGGAAUAUUGGACAAUGGGCGAAAGCCUGAUCCAGCCAUGCCGCGUGUGUGAAGAAGGUCUUCGGAUUGUAAAGCACCUUAAGUUGGGAGGAAGGGCAGUAAGUUAAUACCUGUGAGUUUUGACGUUACCAACAGAAUAAGCACCGGCUAACUUCGUGCCAGCAGCCGCAGUAA
rnacentral:rRNA from 1 species